GGAGUUGUGGCUCAGUGGUAGAGCACUCACCUGGCAUGUGUGAGGUGCUGAGUUCGAUCUUCAGCACCA
rnacentral:tRNA from 1 species